rnacentral:lncRNA from 1 species
CUAUGCUCAAGUACGAGCAGCCUCGGAUAACUACGUUCGGCUACGGCGAGUUUUAUUGAUGGACAAAGACAACAGCUGUCCGUCCCGGCACUGUUUCUGACAAUGGACCUUCAACCGCCAACCUUCCAUAAGCCAGUUAGAUAGUCUCAUGAUAUGAAGAAAUCGAGAUGGGGCUCGAGAGAUGAAUUGCUGCUUAUGUAAAUAAUGAAAAAUCCUACUGCAGACUAAAAAAUCCUUAUGUUUCGGACAAAAAGUAAAGAAUAACACUAAUACAAAAUGUAUACACAUAACAAUAGUAAUAAAUAGUUUCCUAUACCGGUAUUGGAUAAGAUAAUUCAAAGUAUUCGUAUUAAAUGUUAAUGAACGUUAACAUAGUCUGUUUUGAUCUUAAAACGUUCUUCCAGGCAUUUAGGCAUUAUGAUUACACAUGUAUGCUUUUUUGAUCAGCAUAUCAGGGAAACAUCUUAUUUAGAUGACCUUUGUGUCAUCGUAUGAUUUUACUUGUUUUUGGUUCUGCCUGUUCUCUGAAGCACACAGUUAAAAUAGGCAUUUCGUCGUGAUAGAACUUUAGUUUUAUUAUGUUUAGUUCAGGAAAAAAAUUGUCUAAAGUAGGUGUUAUUCAGAGCUAUAAACAUGUUGCGAUUUUAAAGUAUUUCAGUAUAUAUAUAUAUAUAUAUAUAUCAGAAUGUUUAAUUAAUUUAUUUAUUGAUUUGGGUUUUACGGCGCACCAACACAGUAUAGGUUAUAUGGCGCCAAACAGGAAUACAAAUUUUGGUUCCACAUCCAGAAUGUUUAAAGUACCUGGUCAAUGUCAAUGGAGGCCAUCAGAGCAACUGGGUAAGACUGGGGUGAAUUAGAGGAUGGUAUCGAAGAGAAGAUAAUUCUUGCUGACAAAAACUACGAUGAAGAUCGGGGAAAAAGGUUUCUAGAAGUCCGUUCUCUACUUACUUUCUUCAUAGUCAGUUAGAGUGAACAACAUCAGCUUGCAUGUGAUUAUAUAAUUGUCCUCUUCACAUCAUAGAUAUGAGGACUAUAUUCCUGUGCGGAUGGAUUAAAAAACUACUCCAGUCUGGUAGACAUGACAGAUGUGUAUUGGAAAUAUAAACAUGGACUUAAAACUUUGAUGUGUAGCAAAAAAAAUAAUCGUUGAUGAUAAUGAUUUUCUAAGCUAUAUUGACUGGAACAGGGUCAUUCUUCAGAAAUACAGAGCUGUCAAUGCUGCAAUUUUGUUGUGAAAGUCACAAUCCAUGUCAGAACUUGCUUGUUUUACUAUACAGCAAAGAAGAAGAAAUUGUACUGGGCCGACACCAGAUCUGGUGCGCCUGUGAUAUAUUACAGACUCCGGUAUAUACCGGAUUCAAGCAAUUUGAACACUAAAAUAUCUUAAAUUUAUAUAUUUUGCAUCCAUGGUGAUACUAACACUAACAUUUAGUCAGUAUAUUCAUAUUAUACACUAAAUGUGGACAUGCAAAAGAUUGCGUAAUUUUGUCGUGCGCUCCAAUUGAUAAUCAUUCCGGGCAUGCGCAGAACGGCUGCACCAGAUCUGUUAUGAGAAUCAUUCUGGAGGAAAACAUAUGCGUUGAAAGAUCCGUUUUUACUGGUCAAUUUUCAAUAAGUGCAUCACGUAUAUAAUGAAGAAAAAGCUGGAAACCAUACACUUCCUCAAAAUGUUCGGAGUUUUAGAUCUGGUAAAUCCUCCAGUAACACCGUCUCACCAAGGCAGUCAGCUACGUUACUCAUAAAUGCAGUAUCGAAUAUGACUAUAGGUAGUAAACUGGAGCGUAUAAUACACUGACUAAACCGGUCAGCUACGUACGAAGGGAGAGUACUCAGUACUAAGUGACAAUAAAUUAUUCAUACAAAAGCAAUAAAAAUGUUUAUAAUUUUAAGCUCAUAACACAUGUUUUGCAUUUUGUUUUAGUCGGGAUUAACAUCGUCACAUCGACCAAGUAGACAAUAUAUAGCGACUUUCCUGCUUUUCAAGAUAGACCCGACCAGGUAUUAUUUCGGACACGAGCAGGUACUUUGGUAGAAGAACCACCAACCUUCUGUUAGACUGGUGGCUUCCUCCCAUGAAAGAAUUCUAUACCACUAGCGAGGUUUCAAACAUCAGUUCGAGGCAAGUGAUCUGAAAACGUAUAAUGACAAUUACAUGUACCACAAAACCACUGAAGAUUUACAAACCGCCCACCUCCCUCAUUAUUUAAACAAUAUAUCAGUGUUUCGUACGUGGGGAGUUGUUUCCCGUUGAUUAUAUUUAUAAGAUGUCUGGUGGUUGCGGGUUUUGGUAGAUUUAUUUUCUGUUUAAAUGCCAAUCUAUAGAAAUACAUGAAUGAAAAACAAAUACAAAUUUGCCUCAUAUCUAAGGUGAACUCUGCCUGAACUAGCUUGUAAUGUAAUCAUGGGCUGGAAAACCUUAUCAUUGAUAGAUCUUAUAUAAUCUAAAUGGUCAGUGUGAAUGGA